GACGAACGCUGGCGGCGUGCUUAACACAUGCAAGUCGAACGAAGUGGCGAACGGGUGAGUAACGCGUAAUCAACCUGCCCUUCAGAGGGGGACAACAGUUGGAAACGACUGCUAAUACCGCAUACUGAAGGAGGGGAUUGCGUCUGAUUAGCUAGUUGGCGGGGUAACGGGCCACCAAGGCGAUGAUCAGUAGGCGGGUUGGAGUGAACGACGGCCAAAUCGGGAAUGAGAAAAGGCCCAGGAUUCUAAGGGAAGCAGCAAGGGGGAAUCUUCCGCAAGUGACGAAAGUCUGGCGGAGCAACGCCGCGGGAGAGAUGACGGCCUUCGGGUUGUAAAGCUCUGUUAAUCGGGGCGCGGUACCGGAAUAGAAAGCCACGACUAACUACGUGCCAGCAGCCGCGGUAAUUC
rnacentral:rRNA from 1 species